AUUGAACGCUGGCGGAAUGCUUUACACAUGCAAGUCGAACGGUAGAGGGGGCAACCCCCUUGAGAGUGGCGAACGGGUGAGUAAUAUAUCGGAACGUGCCCAGUCGUGGGGAUAACGUAGCGAAAGUUACGCUAAUACCGCAUACGAUCUACGGAUGAAAGCGGGGGGACUCGCAAGAGCCUCGCGCGAUUGGAGCGGCCGAUAUCAGAUUAGGUAGUUGGUGGGGUAAAGGCUCACCAAGCCAACGAUCUGUAGCUGGUCUGAGAGGACGACCAGCCACACUGGAACUGAGACACGGUCCAGACUCCUACGGGAGGCAGCAGUGGGGGAAUUUUUGGACAAAUGGACGCAAGUCUGAUCCAGCCAUUCCGCGUGCAGGAUGAAGGCCCUCGGGUUGUAAACUGCUUUGUACGGAACGAAAAGGUUUCUAUUAAUACUAGGAGCUCAUGACGGUACCGUAAGAAUAAGCACCGGCUAACUAACGUGCCAGCAGCCGCGGUAAAGUGAC
rnacentral:rRNA from 1 species